rnacentral:rRNA from 1 species
GAUGAACGCUAGCUACAGGCUUAACACAUGCAAGUCGAGGGGAAACGCCAUUGAAGCUUGCUUCGAUGGUCGUCGACCGGCGCACGGGUGAGUAACGCGUAUCCAACCUGCCUCUGACCAAGGGAUAACCCGUCGAAAGUCGGCCUAAUACCUUAUGCAGUCGUCGGAAGUCAUCUGAUGACGACGAAAGAUUUCAUCGGUGAGAGAUGGGGAUGCGUCUGAUUAGCUUGUUGGCGGGGUAACGGCCCACCAAGGCAACGAUCAGUAGGGGUUCUGAGAGGUAGGCCCCCCACAUUGGGACUGAGACACGGGCCAAACUCCUACGGGAGGCAGCAGUGAGGUAUAGUAGUCAAUGGGCGCGUGCCUGAACCAGCCCAGUAGCGUGCAGGAGGACGGCCCUAUGGGUUGUAAACUUCUUUUAUGCGGGGAUAAAGUGAGGGACGUGUCCUUCAUUGCAGGUACCGCAUGAAUAAGGACCGGCUAAUUCCGUGC